ACAGAGGGUGCGAGCGUUGUCCGGAAUCACUGGGCGUAAAGGGCGCGUAGGCGGCGCGGUAAGCGUGCGGUGAAAGCCCGGGGCUCAACCCCGGGUCGGCCGUGCGGACUGCCGGGCUCGAGCACUGUAGAGGCAGGUGGAAUUCCCGGUGUAGCGGUGGAAUGCGUAGAGAUCGGGAAGAACACCAGUGGCGAAGGCGUUCUGCUGGGCCGUUGCUGACACUGAGGCGCGACAGCGUGGGGAGCAAACAGGA
rnacentral:rRNA from 1 species